rnacentral:rRNA from 1 species
GGCUUGUUGAGUAUAAUUUCAAGUCUGGCCUGCCCAGUGAUGAGUUAAACGGCCGCGGUAUAUUGACCGUGCAAAGGUAGCAUAAUCAUUAGUUUUUUAAUUGAAAGCUUGAAUGAAAGGUUUGAUGAGAAAAAAUCUGUCUCUGUGGAAAUUUAUUAGAAUUUUAUUUUUAAGUAAGAAAGCUUAAAUAUAAAUAGAAGACGAGAAGACCCUAUAGAGUUUUAUAUUUUGUUGGUAAUAAAGUUUGUAAUAAAAAUUUAUUAUUUAUUAAAUAUUUUAUUGGGGUGAUAGAAAAAUUAAAUGAACUUUUUUUAGAUUGAAACAUUAAUUUGUGAAAAAAUGAUCCUAAAAUUUAGAUUAUAAGAUUAAAUUACCUUAGGGAUAACAGCGUAAUUUUUCUUAAAGUUCUUAUUGAAAGAAAAGAUUGCGACCUCGAUGUUGGAUUAAAAUUAAUUGGYGGUGUAGAAGCUGCUAUAUUUGGUCUGUUCGACCUUUGAAAUUUUACAUGAUCUGAGUUUAAACCGGCGUGAG